rnacentral:misc_RNA from 1 species
GAUGAAGAACGUAGCGAAAUGCGAUACGGAAUGUGAAUUGCAGAAUUCAGUGAAUCAUCGAAUCUUUGAACGCAUAUUGCGCUCUCUGGUAUUCCGGAGAGCAUGCUUGUUUGAGUAUCAGUAAACACCUCAACUUCCAUAUCUUUUUUUGAAAUGGGAGUUGGACUUGAGUGAUCCCAACGCUUUUCCUCACCGAAAAGUGGCGGGUUACUUGAAAUGCAGGUGCAGCUGGACUUUUCUCUGAGCUAUAAGCAUAUCUAUUUAGUCUGCCUAAAAAACAGAUUAUUACCUUUGCUGCAGCUAACAUAAAGGAGAUUAGUUCUUGUGCUGACUGAUGCAGGAUUCACAAAGACAGCUUCGGCCGACUUUGUAAACUCGAUCUCAAAUCAAGUAAGACUACCCGCUGAACUUAAGCAUAUCAAUAAGCGGAGGA